GGCCCAUAGCUUAGUGGAAGAGCAUCUGCUUUGAAUGCAGAAGGUUGCAGGUUCGAUCCCCGGGUUAAUCU